AUCCAUCUGACGAGUCCCAAACAGGACGAACCGAGCAUCCUGGAU
rnacentral:hammerhead_ribozyme from 1 species